rnacentral:lncRNA from 1 species
UCAAACAUUCAAGAAGCAUAUAGGAGUUUUAGCUUCUUGGUCAUUUUCCUUCUAAAAGCUACGGCAACAUAAGAAUAAAAAGAGAAUCCUAAACAAUUGCGAAGGCCUCAUAAUUCAGAAUCGACAAUCAGCUACUUGUGCUUUUGUCUCUAUUCUACUGAAUAGGUCAUGUAAACUCCUUGUUUCUGGUGAUUAUUUCUUUUUCAUAUCCACAGUCUACAAGGUGAAAGAAAAUAACUACCUAACCAGUUAUCCAUUGGCCCAACCCACAGCACCCAGAUUGGCUCAGUUUUUCGCCUGAAAAGGGGAUUGAACCAACCCAUGUACACCCUACACCCCAUUAUUUCACUCUCCCUCGCUUGUUUUUCCUUGGAACCUAGACUUCACCUACUUCUUUCAAUAAAUUGCCACCUAUGGAAACAAAGAAAGAAAAGCCACACCUUGCAGAGAUCGUCGCUGAUUUUGCAGCGUGUAACGUCGAUAACCUGUGAAUUCACUACCGAGCAUCCACAGACUAAACUUACGAAGAAACACCGAUUCAGCGUCUCUCGAACAAAUUCAACUGACACAUCCUUGGAGUUCCCGCGCAAUUGCAGCACCAACCAAAUCGAAUUCAAAAUCCAGCUCAAGAUUACAUUAACUUAUUAAAAAAAAAAAAUCGGACGUGCCAGGCGUUACCUGAUCUAUAGCAAGCUGCACGAAGCCCAGAACGAACCUCAGGAGAGAAUCGUCAUCAGUUUCCAUGGCUUCGGUCGGCGGUGGUAGUCCGUCGCCUCCGCUGGCCAGUCUCCGUCGCCGUCAAGUUCAAUAGGGACUCUGUUUCGGGAAGACGAACAUAUUCUUCUUCUUCUUCCAUUUCGUCGGAGAUCGCUGGUGUGGGGAUGGAAGAUGAGGCGUUGGUAGAGUCGGAAGUUCUGGCUAUGCCGGAGGAGAAAAGGAAGGAGGAGCUCUACGACAACGGGAAAAUCAAAGGAAAAGAAGAAAUGAAAAAGGUUCAAGAGGGGACGAAGGGAGUGCAUAAUUAGACAGAAUGUUAGACCCGUUAAACAGGUGGGUCGGGUCGGGUUUGGGUCGGGUCAUAAAUGGUCCGACCCAAAUCGACCCAUUUAACCUGUUUAUAACCCAUUUAUUACAAUGCAAAAAAUUUGACCCAUACCCGACCUGACCCGUACCCGACCCAUACCCGACCCAUUUAACGAAACCUAAAAAAGUAUAUAUAUAUAUUUUUAAAAUGAUAUUGCUAAAAUGGUUUUAUACAACAUAAAUUUAAUAGAUAAUUUUUAUAAUUUUUAAAAUAAUUAUUUUAAAAAAAUCGAAUUUUAAUUAAUUUUUUGUUUUUUUUUAAAUUAAUUUUUUAUUUUUUAAAAAAUAAUUUUUUUAUAAUUUUUAUUUUAUUUUUAAGAAUAUAAUAUAAUUUNNNNNNNNNNNNNNNNNNNNNNNNNNNNNNNNNNNNNNNNNNNNNNNNNNNNNNNNNNNNNNNNNNNNNNNNNNNNNNNNNNNNNNNNNNNNNNNNNNNNUGUUGACUAUACUUUCAAGGCUUGAAUUGUGUUCAUCUUUGGCUUUGUAUGUAGGCUAAGUGAGGAAGAUUGUUGUAUCCUAGGGAUAGGAUUUUUGUCACAGCCAACUGCAUUAGAUCAUGAAUCCUAUUGGAAGAACCACUGUUUCCAAGACAGAGUAAUCUAUGCAUCUUAUGCAGAAAUUUCAGUUCUUUCUUCAAAUACCGACAACACUAAGAGUCUAAGAGAGGAUCUUAUGCGUGAAGCAUGGACAACUAUCUUUGCUCCUCAAUGUCAAGGUAUGGACAUUGUUUGAAGAGUAUUCUCCUUACUAAUAGCCAUUCGAUCUAAGUUCUAGUACUCAAGCAUUAUAUUCUUUGAAAUUUUAUGUGAAAUUGCAGUUAUCCUCCCUAUACUUGAGAUUUUACAAAGUUCCUCAACUCGCUUCUCAUAACUUUAGAAUUUUGCAUCUCUCACUACACCCUUUUAAUCAAGACAAGUGAAGCCACCAUAACAACUUGCUCUCAAGUAAUGUAAAGCAAUAAAUACGUACUCAGAACAAUUUAUACCUUUGUAAUCUGUUGAGGUAAUCAAGCAAUUACUAACGUAUUCAAGCAUGCUAUACAGGACAAUCUACAAGCACUGAACAUUCUGGUCCAACAGCUUGCAAAGGCUUUAUUUCUAUUUAAAAAGCAAAUAUCAUUCCCCUACUCUUUCUCUCCUCAUUGAAGCUUUUUCUUUGACUGUCCUCGGUCCAAAAUUCAGACAGAGAACAAUAGCAAAUGAGAAAUGUGAAACAUUGUACAGAGUAAAGCAAGAUUCUUGCUAUUGUUAGCCAUAGUCGUACUUUAUGAAAGAAUAAUGGGAACAAAACCAUUAAGAGCCUAAUAAUGCAUAGAAAAUUCCACCUUUUAACAGAUUUGUUCAGAUGUACUAUUUAAACACAUAUUAAAGAAAUAACUGCGAUAUUGAGGGUAUCAAUUCAAAACAACAACAAAGUGCUGUUGGUCAAAAUUUAUAGAAAGGGGUAAAGAAGCAAUGAUAGACAUACAUUCUGUUUCUCAUUAGUCCUAUUUCUUCCUGCUGCAAUAAGGCACUGUUUCUCACCAAUCACACAGCUGUUCAAUCAAGGUAUAAAAUAAAUAGUGUACAAUGUGAAAUCACUUACAAAUUAAGACUGAAAAUAAAGUAACAUAUCUGAAAUGCAACUGGUUACUGAAAAUCAGUUCCUUACCCAAUUGGAACUUCGAGGCUGUCCAAGCAAGCUUUGCCUUAUAUUAAAAAUGCAAAUAGGUCUUGUACUUGUUAGGAGGAAAAAAAAAUAUGGGUAUAAGAGUCAGAAUUUCUCUCAUACUUGCAUACAGGCAACUCAAGGGAAAAUGAACAUCAAGUAGCCAGCAGUAGAAAUAUUUCAGCAUCAACAUGCAGCUACUAACAGAAUGAAUCCAUAUCUCGUAGCUAUAAGAUCAAGAUUUUGCAGGUCCUGCGUUAUAUACUGGUCCCAAACUUCCAAGGGAUGAUUAUGAAUACAUACUCAUCCAGUAAUUCAGAUGCAAAUCCCACCUAACACUCAAACUGAUAUGGCUCUAACAACAAUAAAACAAAAACAACAACUAAUUUGAGAAACUACAUUAAUCAGGUUUCACUCAAACAUUCAAGAAGCAUAUAGGAGUUUUAGCUUCUUGGUCAUUUUCCUUCUAAAAGCUACGGCAACAUAAGAAUAAAAAGAGAAUCCUAAACAAUUGCGAAGGCCUCAUAAUUCAGAAUCGACAAUCAGCUACUUGUGCUUUUGUCUCUAUUCUACUGAAUAGGUCAUGUAAACUCCUUGUUUCUGGUGAUUAUUUCUUUUUCAUAUCCACAGUCUACAAGGUGAAAGAAAAUAACUACCUAACCAGUUAUCCAUUGGCCCAACCCACAGCACCCAGAUUGGCUCAGUUUUUCGCCUGAAAAGGGGAUUGAACCAACCCAUGUACACCCUACACCCCAUUAUUUCACUCUCCCUCGC